ACUCCUUGACUUUGUACUGCUAUACACAUCUAGUUCAUAUCUCUGUGAAUGCUGAUCAAUAUCAUAGAUCACAAUGAUCAGGCCACGCUGUUCGGAUCUUGUAUUCGUGUCAUGAGAUCAACUUUUCGGUUAGGCCUCGUGCUGGGGAUGUAGCUCAGAUGGUAGAGCGCUCGCUUAGCA
rnacentral:precursor_RNA from 1 species